UGGGCCUCACGCCCAAUUAUUAAGCCGAGGAGCAGUUGCACAUGUCACCUAACUUCAACAACUAUACACAAAUGAUGCUCGACAAAUUAAUCAACCUGUCACUCUUCUCCUUAGCUUCCUCAAAUCAUCCCUUCCAAAUCCCAUUCUGUAAAUAGAUGAACCAGUCGCUGGCCACCGCCAAGAUGUGAAUUGUCUUCUUGUCUUGUUGCAACUCCUACCAGCUUUUACUGAAUUUUUGAGCUGUUUCCUUUUUGUCCGAACCAGAACAUCUCGGAUUUCCCGGAAGUCGGUUUCUCCAUUACGGCUUCUAAUUUCUACAAUUCUUUUUUUCUAUUGGGGUUUCUAGAAAAACAAACUCCUUUUUCUAAACAUAUAAACAAUCCCAAUUUCACUUUUCACAACCCACCAACUACUAAUUCUAAUUUUAUGCAGUUGGUGUCUGCAGAGCUGAGAGCUUCAAGAAAAUGGCUGCUUUGAGGUCUUCUUCUUCUUCUUCUUCUGUCGAAGAAACUGAAAAUCAUCAUCAUAAAGAAGAGACUACCGGCAAUCAGAAGGUUUAUGAGCUGUUGAUUCCUGGUUUGCCUGAUGAAAUAUCUGAGCUUUGUCUUCUUCAUCUUCCUUACCCAUACCAAGCAUUGGCGCGUUCUGUUUCUUCUUCCUGGAACAGAGCUAUUCAUGACCCCAGCUUUAGUGUCUCCAAGAAAUCUCUAUCCCUCUCUCUGCCUUACCUUUUCGUUUUUGCGUUCCGUAAAUCAACGUCUAGGAUUCAAUGGCAAGCUCUGGACCCUCGAUCCGGCCGUUGGUUUGUUUUGCCUCCUAUGCCUUGUCCCAAGUCCGUAUGUCCACCGGGGUUUGCUUGCGCCUCGUUGCCACAUCAAGGGAAGCUCUUCGUUUUUGGUGGUAUGCGGUCGGACACUGAAACUUCCAUGGAGACGACGUAUGUUUACCAUUCAUCAACAAAUCAGUGGUCCGUAGCGUCUCCCAUGCUAACCCCACGGUCAUACUUCGCCGUCGGGAGUGCAAAUGGUAAGAUCAUUGCUGUUGGAGGAAGUGCGUCCGGCAUUGGUGAUUCAAUCACAGCCGCUGAAUGCUACGACCCUGAAAAAGACGCGUGGACGCCUGUUGCUAAAAUGCGCACGGGGUUAUGUAGGUACGAUUCGGCUGUGGUGGGGAACAAGAUGUACGUGACGGAAGGGUGGACAUGGCCUUUCAUGUUUUCACCGAGGGGUGGCGUGUACGAACCAGAUAAAGACACGUGGCAAGAACUGAGAGAUGGGAUGAGAGAAGGGUGGACAGGAUUAAGUGUAGUAGUGGGUGAGAGAUUAUUCGUGAUAUCGGAGCACGGAGACUGUCCGAUGAAAGUGUACCUCCCUGAUACGGACGCGUGGAGGUACGUGGGAGGGGACAGGUUCCCACGAGAUGCAAUGCGGAGGCCAUUUGCUGUGAGCGGAGCAGAAGGAAAAGUGUACGUGGUGUCAUGUGGGCUUAAUGUGGCAAUUGGGAGAAUAUAUGAACCCAAAAAAGAAGAAUAUUGCGUGGAAUGGGAGGUCGUCACUGCACCUAAGGCUUUUGCUGACUUUUCUCCUUCAAAUUGCCAGGUGCUUUUUGCGUAAUUUCCAUUCUUAUAUUCUCAGACUGGGAAUUAUUCAAUGAUCAUCAUUAUUAUUACAAAAAAAAAUUAAAAUGUAUUAAAAUAUUAAAAUUAUUCUUUGUCCCUAGCUUUAUACAACAUAACAAUAUGGUUUGGAUAGAUUUGUUUUGUUAGGCAAUAGAAGCAACUAUGGUUCACUUUUGUCUUAAAAUUACAGCGGGAGAGUGUCGUGUGAGUGAGAACAGAUCAGAUCAGAAAUUCUGUGGUUCUUAGUGUAAGGGGAGGCAUUGCUUAGACGGUAUUUUAAUUUAUUUUUUUGAGUUUGUUUGGAUUUUGAAUGAAUGAAUGAAUGAAUGGGAAUUCUUUUACAAAAUAAAGACCUCUAUUAUGUAACCAUGGAUGUGGAGAGUGGAAAACACAACAGUAGAGAGUUGAGUUCCUUCCCUUAUUAUCGUUAUUAUUUAAUUUUUUUUUUUAGAAAAAAAAUGUAAAGUUUAAUUAUAAAUAUAUUAUGAAAUUUCUUGUCAUUUAGUGAAUAAAGAAAAUGGUAAGACGGUGUGGAAACUGACAAAAUGGCUUACUAAAAUCAGGCUUACCAAGUUUGAAA
rnacentral:misc_RNA from 1 species